CUGAACCAGCAACUUGGAGGAAUGUAUAGGGAAAGCGGUAAUAAGCGAUGUACCUAAUAGUAUUAGAAAUUAAUAUGAAAUUAACUAAGUUAAUUAAAAUUCAAAGUAGAUAUUUGAUUAUGACAAUAUAUACUUAUUUCUUGACCAAGUCACGUGCCAGCAGUCGCGGUAAUACGUGGAAGAUAAGUGUUAUUCAUCUUUAAUAGGUUUAAAGGGUACCUAGACGGUUAAUUAAGCAUACAAUUGUACUAAUUUAACUAGAGUUUAAUGUAAGAAGGCUAGUACGGUGAGUUGAGAGAUAAAAUUCUGUGAUACCACUUAGAAACUGGUAAAGGCGAAGGCAACCUUCCAUGUAAAAACUGACGUUAAGGGACGAAGGCUCGCAUUAAGUAACAGGAUUAGAUACCCUAGUAUUUUGGGCAGACAAUGAUGAGUGUCAUAUGCAAGAAAAGUUUUGUGUAUAAAUGAAAGUGUAAGCACUCCACCUCAAGAGUAACGUGGCAACAUGGGAACUGAAAUCAUUAGACCGUUUCUGAAACUCGUAGUGAAGUAUGUUGUUUAAUUUGAUAGUCCUCAAAUAACCUUACCACAAUUUGUAUGACCAGUCCGAGGAUUGGUCACAAGCGUUGCACGGCUGUCUGGUUAAUGUUGUGAAACUUUGGUUAAAUCCAUUAAAUUAACGUAAACCCUUGCUUUAUUUAUUAUAAAGCAGUUUGCCACGAUAUUUGUGGUGAUAUAAGGGACCUAGACAAGUCAUCA
rnacentral:rRNA from 1 species